UAGGGAAUCUUCCGCAAUGGGCGAAAGCUUGACGGAGCAACGCCGCGUGAGUGAUGAAGGUCUUCGGAUCGUAAAACUCUGUUAUUAGGGAAGAACAAAUGUGUAAGUAACUAUGCACGUCUUGACGGUACCUAAUCAGAAAGCCACGGCUAACUACGUGCCAGCAGCCGCGGUAAUACGUAGGUGGCAAGCGUUAUCCGGAAUUAUUGGGCGUAAAGCGCGCGUAGGCGGUUUUUUAAGUCUGAUGUGAAAGCCCACGGCUCAACCGUGGAGGGUCAUUGGCAACUGGAAAACUUGAGUGCAGAAGAGGAAAGUGGAAUUCCAUGUGUAGCGGUGAAAUGCGCAGAGAUAUGGAGGAACACCAGUGGCGAAGGCGACUUUCUGGUCUGUAACUGACGCUGAUGUGCGAAAGCGUGGGGAUCAAACAGG
rnacentral:rRNA from 1 species